ACUAGGGAAUAGCCCGAAGAAAUUUGGAUUAAUGCCCUAUAGUAUCUUUUUAAGGCAUCUUAUUAAGAUUAAAGGUUACGGUAUGAGAUGAGUAUGCGUUCUAUUAGCUAGUAGGUGUGGUAACGGCACACCUAGGCUACGAUAGAUAGGGGCCCUGAGAGGGGGAUCCCCCACACUGGUACUGAGACAGGACCAGACUCCUACGGGAGGCAGCAGUAAGGAAUAUUGGACAAUGGGCGAAAGCCUGAUCCAGCCAUGCCGCGUGCAGGAUGACUGCCCUAUGGGUUGUAAACUGCUUUUAUAUAGGAAGAAAAAUUUUCUCGUGAGAAAAC
rnacentral:rRNA from 1 species